rnacentral:rRNA from 1 species
UGCGUAGGUUGUUUGUUAAGUCAGAUGUGAAAGCCCCGGGCUCAACCUGGGAACUGCAUUUGAUACUGUCAGGCUAGAGUGUGGUAGAGGGAAGUGGAAUUCCGGGUGUAGCGGUGAAAUGCGUAGAUAUCCGGAGGAACACCGGUGGCGAAGGCGGCUUCCUGGACCGACACUGACACUGAGGCACGAAAGCGUGGGUAGCAAACA